UCUAUUUUCCUUCUAAUCUAAUGGCCAUCAUCCCUUCCCACUUCCAUAUAAAAUACCCAAUUAUAGAAACCCUACCCUAAGUUUUUCAAUCCCUACACCUAGACUACAAAAAAGACGGCAGCCAUGAAUCUUUGAAUCCUAUAAUUCAAAAGAGAAGCGGCAGAAACUUUGAGCAUGAAACUGAUAUGGGUGUGAUCUGAAUGGUUGUUCGAGGUUCUGUCACGUUCGUGUCCCUGUUGGCUCUUUGUUCGCUGCUCAAUUCCUUGGUCAGAUUCUCGUUUGCUUCUCAACUGAAUAGAAAUGUAAACUCGGAACUCCAUUAAUCGGAAAGUUAUCGCUCUUUGAGCCUUUCAGCAAUACAUAGGGAUUCUAGAAAGGUAUGUACCUGGAAGUUGUAAAUAAGAAGGAAAAGGAGAGAUCAGCAGCAGUAGAUGACAAGCAACAGUAUUAAACACAGCAGCAGGGACAAUUGCAGGUUCAACACAACUUCACAAAGCUCAGGAAUGAGUUACAGAGGAUCAACAGGAGCUAAUCGAUCAAAAACAAGCUUGUUUGACCUCAAGUUUACUCGAAAUUGAACUAGGAAGUUACAGAACACCUUCAGCACUCAAAAACACCCAGCAACAGCUCGAAUAAAUCCCAAACACCUUCAGAUGCUUUAAACCUUCGCGUACAGAACAGAAACAGAGAAAUCCGAGCUAAUUCCGAUCCUAAAUGAGCUAACCAGUUGAAUUAAGAGCUGAAAUUUGAGAAAUGAUCUAAGGAAGAUCAAUGUAACAGUUUUUUUUUGUAUUUUUCUGUGGCUUUUGUGUAUAUUUUUUGUUUUGGAGAUUUUCUAAGAUAAGAAAGAGAAUUUCAGAUCUAGUGUUUGAAUCUGAAAUUCAAAUUUAGCUUCUGGAAACUAAGACUAUUUUGGGGGGAAUUUUUGGGGUUCCAAACUUGUGAAUCAAGGCACUAGACAUGCCUUUUAUAGUCAUAAAUGAGGGCAACCCUCAGAUUUUCAGUU